rnacentral:rRNA from 1 species
UGUGGUUAUUAUAGCAAAGAGGAUACACCUGUUCCCAUACCGAACACAGAAGUUAAGCUCUUUAGCGCUGAAGGUACUUGGUGGGAAGCUGCCUGGGAGAAUAGGACGUAGCCACGU